AAAUAACUUAAGAUGAAGACCAACCCAAAUAAGAAUGAUAGUAAUGAACGGGCCGAUCAACGACUGCUUCGCUGAUAUUCAUUACAUUCAAUUCAACAAUGCCGCUGUUCCUACUUCAGUUCUGCCAAGAUGUCUCAAACAGCAGCAUGUUGUGGGAGUCGGCAAACUUCAACGCCAUGUUGGAUGGCACCUGGAGAAAGUUGCGGAAGGAAGCCAUUUUUGUGACAUCAUAAACAAACACGACUGCAUGGACAUUACGGUAGUAGUGUUCCACCAUGGAUUUCCGAAAUCGCUCCUGGCCAGCUGUGUCCCAUACCUGCACCUGAAGAUUAGAUAGUAAGUCUUUUUUUCUGAUGAAUAUGUUAGGUGACAAAUGUGUGGUUGUCAGAUUAUUAUUAUAUUGUUAUGUUUUAUAUAGACAAAACUGACAAGUAUAGGAGUGACAAUUCUGAUUCUGACCACUCCAUCUUAGUACACUGAUGUGUUAGUGAAUACCGUCAUCAAAACAAAAAAGGGUGUUAGUCCCUCCAAUAGGUCCAUCCAUCCAUCCAUCCAUCCAUCCAUCCAUCCAUCCAUCCAUCCAUCCAUCCAUCCAUCCAUCCAUCCAUCCAUCCAUCCAUCCAUCCAUCCAUCCAUCCAUCCAUCCAUCCAUCCAUUUUCUGUACCACUUGACACCACUGGGGUGCUGGAGCCUAUCCCAUCAGUCAUCGGGCAGUAGGCGGGGGACACCCUGAACCGGUUGCCAGACGAACAACCAUUCGCACUCACACUCACACAAAGGGGCAAGCUGGGAUGCUCAGUCAGCCUACCAUGGAUGUUUUGGGGAUGUGGGAGGAAACCGGAGUGCCUGGAGAAAACCCACACAGGCACGGGGAGAACAUGCAAACUCCACACAGGGAGGGCCGGACAUGGAAUCGAACCCGCACCCUCUGAACUGUGGGGCGGACAUGCUAAUCAGUGUGUCACCGUGCCGCUCCUCCAAUAGGUUUCUAUUAUAAAUAAAGUAUAUUGACAUAUGAGUUGUGAAGACAUUCCUUACGAGAUCCAGACAUAAAACAUAAUGUUCAAGUUAGCCCCUGCAAUGCAGUCAGUGCGUAUGGUAUAAUCUAGAAUUCUGGAUCUUCAAAAUAAAUCCUAUGAAGUCUCACAACAUAGUGAAAACAUCAGCAUUGAGGCUACCAACAUUGGCAGAGGUGUUAUUGAGUCUGUAGCUUAGGUUUAAUCACUCAAGUGCACUAUAUAUAGAAAAAAUUGAUGCCCAUGUCAGGUCCCAAGCCCAGGGGCCAGAUCCGUCCCACCAUACCAUUGUAUGUGGCCCGAGAAAAUAAAAUUAUGUCAACUUCCACAAUCCUUGCUAAAAACGACCUAAAUCUUGGCAUGUAUAAUAAAUAAUUUGUUACCUUUUUUACAGUAAUUGAACAUACUAUAUGUCUAAUUGCAAAACUAGUAAUCCUUCACUUUGUUAUGUAUGUAUAUGUAAUAAUACUGGUGGAUAAUAAUACAUUUAUUUGGUGUCACCAUGGUAACGGUCCUCUGAGAAGCUGCCCGUGGUAAAAAUGAGUUUGACACCGCUGACUCUAUUAUUUGUUGACUGUAUACUACAUUGAGGGAUUGAGGAAAAUGUCACCAUUCUUCCACGACAUUUUGUACAGUCCUUGUACAUCUACUUUUCUCGAUCUACAGCUUUUUAUAUCCACUGAGGUUUUCCCAAAAGUCUUGUUUUAUGUGAUGAUAAAUAAUAGUUCUGUUCCCUAGAGGUGUGAUUGCUAACUUUUCUUGAGCCAAGUCAUCCAUUUUUGUAUUAGCACAAAAAUUGUCAUGAUUUUAUAAAUACUAAAAUAAUGCUAAUCUCAUCAAAAUGUACUCACUCACUCACUCACUCACUCACUCACUCACUCACUCACUCACUCACUCACUCACUCACUCACUCACUCACUCACUCACUCACUCACUCACUCACUCACUCACUCACUUACUCACUAAUUGUGCAAUCUUUGUCAAAUUGAACACAAAGCCGAUAUACUUGCAGUAAAUCAUAACUUAUUCUGUUGUACAUGACUAUAAGAGAAUAUCAAUACAAAGAUUUAUUGGGCCUGCUAUCGAAUGGAAUCGUUCUUCCUGUAAUCACACGACACUCGCAUAGAAAAAUUAUGAAAGACAUAUUAAUAAAUAUUACAUAUUUUUUGGACAAAUAAA